rnacentral:misc_RNA from 1 species
GAUGAAGAACGUAGCGAAAUGCGAUAAGUAGUGUGAAUUGCAGAAUUCAGUGAAUCAUCGAAUCUUUGAACGCACAUUGCGCCCCUCGGUAUUCCGUGGGGCAUGCCUGUUCGAGCGUCAUUUAACCCCUCAAGCCUAGCUUGGUAUUGGGUGCUUGUCCCGCCUCUCGCGCGGCGACUCACCUCAAAGUCAUUGGCAGCCCGCAUCUCGCCGGCCGUGAGCGCAGCACAGAUGCGCUCUUGGCAACGACGGAUCGGCUCUCCAAAAGCUUAUUUCAACCACUGACCUCGGAUCAGGUAGGGAUACCCGCUGAACUUAAGCAUAUCAAUAAGCGGAGGA